rnacentral:lncRNA from 1 species
CCAGAGGUUAAGGUGGUUGACUGGAGAGGCUCCUGCCUCUGUGGCGUUUUUUUUAAUAGUCAAUAAUACAAUACAAGGUUAGCUGUGGCCAGGGUGGCGACACACUUCACCGGCUAACAAGACACCCUGGCAUACCAGAGAGAAGGGAAGGUUAUGCCACCCCACAGGCUUCCUGGAACCCCCACUGUGAAAGAGAAGGGCUGAUCCCCAGUCCUCAAGCUCUAGCUACUCUCCUCCCAAGUUCCCCCCCCACCCCACCCACUCCCAGACCCCGGCCCCAUGGCUGCAGGAGGCCAUGGCCCUGCCAAGGAUGUGUUGAUCAACCUGCAUCAGAUUAAUGUGAAAGAAGAGGAGGAGGAGGAUGAGGACUUUUCCACAGAGGAGCAGGAGGAGGACGAGGACUGGGAGAAUGCAUUAUCAGUGGAGAGGUUCGGGAACAUCAUCACUGACUCCGCGAUCAGCGGCGGAGAAAAAAUGGGCCGCAACUACAACGAGAAGGAUUUUGAGUGUAAGUCUUUAGUCUUCUUUAUCGUCUCUGCUUUUGUAGAACGCAAAGUAAACAUUCCAUG